AUGAAUUUUCUUUUUGGUUUUCAAACUCCAGAUUUUAAGAAUGUGACAAUUGUGAAAGGGCUCAAAGAUCAAUCCAUGAUACAAAAGCUGAAACUUAUCACUGAAUCUAGGGAGCUAGCAAUCAAGGCAAUAGAAACUGCAACUCAGGCGAAACAAAAGAGUGGUGACUCAGAUGAAUCAAUGCUUCUCUCUUUUCGAUUCAGAUCCGUGAAAUGUUGUGAUGUCAAGACAGAUUGA